rnacentral:rRNA from 1 species
CGGCUAAAUACGUGCCAGCGGCCGGGGUAAUACGUAUGGGGAAAGCGUUGUUCGGAAUUAUGAGGCGUAAAGGUCAUCUAGGCGUGAUGUUAAGUAAGGUGUUAAAGCCAAGGGCUCAACCCUUGAACUGCAUCUGAUACUGGUAUUCUUGAGUUCGGAAGAGGAAGGCGGAAUUCCCGGUGUAGCGGUGAAAUGCGUAGAUAUCGGGAAGAACACCGGUGGCGAAGGCGGCCUUCUGGUCUAGGACUGACGCUGACAUGCGAAAGUGUGGGGAUCAAACGGGAUUAGAACCCCUGUAGUC